rnacentral:rRNA from 1 species
UACGUAGGGACCGAGCGUUGUCCGGAAUCAUUGGGCGUAAAGAGCGUGUAGGCGGCUUGUUAAGUCUUGCGUGAAAUCUCGGGGCUCAACCCCGAGCGGUCGUGAGAAACUGGCAGGCUAGAGUGCGGGAGAGGAGAGUGGAAUUCCUGGUGUAGCGGUGAAAUGCGCAGAUAUCGGGAAGAACACCCGUGGCGAAGGCGGUUCUCUGGGACGGUACUGACGCUGAGACGCGAAAGCGUGGGGAGCGAACAGG